AUGGCCUGGAUCUCUCUGCUGUUCUCACUCCUCACUGUCUACACAGGUUCUGGGGCCUCCUCUGUGCUGACUCAGCCAUCUUCUGUGUCCAAAAGCCUGGGAGAGAUGGCCUCCAUCUCCUGUGCUGGGGAUGCACUUAGAAGUUACCAUGCACACUGGUACCAGCAGAAACCUGGCCAGGCCCCUAAGCUGGUGAUUUAUAGUAGUAACAGCAGGGCCUCAGGGAUCCCUGACAGAUUCUCUGGCUCCAGAUCAGGGAACACGGCCACCCUGAGGAUCUCUGGGCUCCAGGCUGAGGAUGAGGCUGACUAUUACUGUCAGAAUGCAUCCAGGAGCAGGGAAGCAGCUAAGCAGCCAGACAAGAAUGCUGAAUCACACUGGGCUGGGGGUAGCAGCAGCAUCCAGGCUCACAGCAAGGGCCCUGCAGCAAGGCUCCAAGUGGGGGACAAAUCACCAUCCAGGCCCCACCUUCCUGCUAACCAGCAGCCCCCUAAGCAAGAUUCUACCGACUAUGAACAUUCUUCUGCCAAGGACCAGAUGCCUUGA